AUAUUAUCAAGAGUGAGCCGAGGGUACUGACCCUGUGACGCUCCAGCAACCUGCUUCCGUAAGGUGCUCCAUUCAGCCCGCAAGGGAAAGAUGAUGU
rnacentral:ncRNA from 2 species